UCCCCAGUGGCUCAGAGGUUAAAGCGUCUGCCUGCAAGGCGGGAGACCCGGGUUCAAUCCCUGGGUCAGGAA
rfam:TPA: Bos taurus chromosome 11, whole genome shotgun sequence.